UUGCCCUUGUGGUUUUGAUCCGCCCGUGCUUUAGAAGUUGAGUGGUUAGGCCACGAAGGAGUGCUUUGCGUUGGUCAGGUGGCCGAUUCAGCUUCGGGACCCGCCUUCCAUGUCUCAUGGCAGACACACGGCCACCAUUGUCAAUAAUGGUGAAGUUAUGCUCAAAACCAUUGUUUCCUAUACCAAAAUUGAACAAGAUUAUAGCAAGGCUAAACAAAGCUAUGGUCAAAACCACUGUUUCAUGCUAAAGAUUUACAUUCAUGGUAUGGAGAUGAUUGUUUGAGAAGAAAACAUUCUCCAGACUCUGAUUUUGCCUAAUUUGAUGCAAAUAUGGAAUCUUUUUAGGGUAAGGUUUAUCAGCAAGCUGAUAACCUAAAACUUGCUUCCAAUGUUCGACAAUCAUAUUACUGUUUAAGACUAUCAUCAGCCCUCGCUAUGUCCUUUAUUCGAUAAAACCUAGAAUUUCUUCCUACUGUAACAUCCUUCUAAGACCAGAAUUCUAUCCAUCAAAUUAAUCAAACUUAUGCAAGCAAACAAGGUUAAAACCAGCCUAAAUUUGCACAAAAUUAUCAGCAAUAACCAAAUGCACAGCAGAAAAUACAUCAAACCGACACCAUAUUCUACAUUAUAGCACAGAAGAACAGACAGUCGAAUAGAUUAUACACUUUACCUGAAGAAGUGAGAUUCAGAAGUGGAUGAAGAGGGGCGAGUCCAAGGAAAGAUCCAAAAACAGGCUUCGAAUUAGGUUUAGACCGCGUAAACGUUGGUGGCCGAAAUGAACAGCGAACUGAAGAAUGGGGAUUUGAAGAAAUCGAACAAGAAAUCGAAGGGAGGGAAGAUUUCAGAGACGACA
rnacentral:lncRNA from 1 species